AGAGUUUGAUCAUGGCUCAGAGCGAACGCUGGCGGCGUGCUUAACACAUGCAAGUCGAACGGGUGUAGCAAUACAUUCGUGGCGAACGGGUGCGCAACACGUGGAUAACCUUCCUUCAGGUGGGGAAUAACCCAGUGAAAAUUGGGCUAAUACCGCAUAACAAUGCGAGGGCACAUGCUCUUGCUUUCAAAGGCGCAAGUCGCCGGAAGAGGGAUCCGCGGCCGAUUAGCUUGUUGGCGAGGUAAUGGCUCACCAAGGCAAUGAUCGGUAGCCGGUCUGAGAGGAUGAUCGGCCACACUGGAACUGAGACACGGUCCAGACUCCUACGGGAGGCAGCAGUGGGGAAUCUUGCGCAAUGGGCGAAAGCCUGACGCAGCAACGCCGCGUGGGGGAUGAAGCUUCUCGGAGUGUAAACCCCUUUCGACCCGGACGAAUGCCCGCAAGGGUUUGACGGUACGGGUAUAAGAAGCCCCGGCUAACUACGUGCCAGCAGCCGCGGUAAAACGUAGGGGGCCAGCGUUGCUCGGAAUUACUGGGCGUAAAGGGUCCGUAGGCGGUGUGACAAGUCGGUAGUGAAAUCUCCGGGCUUAACUCGGAGGCUGCUGCCGAAACUGUUGUGCUAGAGUGCGAGAGAGGCGAGUGGAAUUGCGGGUGUAGCGGUGAAAUGCGUAGAUAUCCGCAGGAACAUCCGAGGCGAAAGCGGCUCGCUGGAUCGCAACUGACGCUGAGGGACGAAAGCUAGGGGAGCAAACAGGAUUAGAUACCCCAGUAGUCC
rnacentral:rRNA from 1 species